CCUAAUGGCCAAAAUAUGGAUGCAAUUUAUUUAUACCCGCUUAGCGACUACCAACAAUGCCUCUGACAUUAGUGCUUAUUGAGCGGUUAUGCUUUAUUCAAUCUUGCAACAUGAACAGAUUUGUGUAGGCCACUGGAUUUACAAAGAGAUGCUCAAAUGUGUACGACAUCGAAAGCAAAGUAUGUACUUCCCACAUCUGAUUACCGCCCUAUGUUACCAAGCUGACGUCCCCACGAAGAGCGUGAUUGGGGACAACUUGUACGACCAGUUUCUCGAGCUCCAACGCAAGCAAAAUCAGGAGGAGCAAAGAAAAAAGCAUAAGAACAGUUCCCAAGGGUCGAUGAAGAGGAAGGAAAAGCACAAACGUCAAGGAUGAUGGGCUUUACUGAUAUGUCGAUAUCGCAUUAGUAGACCCGUUCUAUGUAGGACAUAGAAGACAUUCUGAUUCGCAUCGCGAAACAGAAUAGGUGCCCUACACCAACACUUCUCCCUGACAUGCUCGAGAGGUUCCCACCACCAGACGAGGAGGGUGACGAUGAUGAUGAGGAGGAUACCCCUAUUGCACCAUCGGACUAUGAGUAGGUAUUUAGCCUAGACCACUCAUCAAUGAAAGGCAUGGUGAUCCGUAACUCGAGCUAACACAGCUCGACCCAGACUUCGGGAAGGCAGGAAAUGAGAGUGCUGGUGAGGCGCGAUAGGGGCAAGGCCCAGAUGAGGGAAGAGUCAGAAUCUGAGUCAGACUACUUUUAAACAUUUAUAUAUUUGGAUUUUUGUAUUAUAUUUUUAUUUGGAUGACUUUUAAUUUUUGCAUUAGUAAUUUGUUAGGAUUUAGUAUUUUUCAUAAAUAUGUUUGUGUGCUUUUAUUUUUCUUUGUAGAAGCCCUACAAAUUUUUUACGGCAUUACAAUUGUGAGCAAAAAUCGAAAGGAGCAGUAGUCCCACCAAUUGGGAUGCACUUACCACGCCAAUCGGGUAACUUCUUUCUUUUACAUUUUUAUUUGCACAUUAGGGAUAAUGUGUCAAAUAAAGUGUGGGGGUGACUUAGGAAAAUUUAAAAAAAAUUUCUUUCCAGUUAUUUUAUUUUCCUUGUUUCUAGUUUUAAAUUUUCUUUUUAAUCGCAUGUUUGUGUAUGAGCUUGUAGAAAUACAAGUAAUUGGUUAGGAG
rnacentral:lncRNA from 1 species